UACAGAGGUCUCAAGCGUUGUUCGGAUUCAUUGGGCGUAAAGGGUGCGUAGGUGGCGCGGUAAGUCGGGUGUGAAAUCUCGGGGCUUAACUCCGAAACUGCAUUCGAUACUGCCGUGCUUGAGGACUGGAGAGGAGACUGGAAUUUACGGUGUAGCGGUGAAAUGCGUAGAUAUCGUAAGGAAGACCAGUGGCGAAAGGCGGGUCUCUGGACAGUUCCUGACGCUGAGGCACGAAGGCCAGGGGAGCAAACGGGG
rnacentral:rRNA from 1 species